UUUCCGUAGGUGAACCUGCGGAAGGAUCAUUGUAGGAUUGUUUUGGGAGGGGUGGUUGUGAUUUGUGGGGUUUGUGUGUGGUUGUUUGGAUUGCCUGGAUUGCCUGGCUGUCUGCAACUCGACUCGUCUCAUCACAACCACUCUUUACAUUGGCACAGACCAGUGUUCUGAUGUUUAGAGCACAGACUCAGUCUGAUGUUUGCGCUUGUUCGUUUGACAGAAACAGUACCAUAUCAUUGCAAAACUUUUAACAAUGGAUCUCUUGGCUCUU
rnacentral:misc_RNA from 1 species